GAACCUGAGGCAGAGCCAAGCACCGCCCCCACCAGCCACAGCAGAGUAGUGGCUGAGAAAGGCCCUAGGAAGCAGAGAAGAGCCUUUGAAGUUCUGCUUUUGCAAAACAAACCUAUAAAAGCAUCCAGGGACUAGAGAACAUUCCAGAGGGGACCUGGAAGAGGGCAGAACUACAAGAUGAACAGGACCAAGACUGAUUCCAAAUCUUUGCUCUAGUUUGCAUUAGCUGUGCAAUCUUCAACCAAUGCCCAUACACUCUUGCAACCCUGUGGCAGAGAUUGUGUUUCUCAAACCAUUUCAUUUUCUCUGGGCAAACAGAAGUCAGCAGUGGUCCUGGGACUGAUUCAUGAACUGCCAAACUAUUUCUGAAAAGGAACACACAUUUCUCAUGCCCUCCACAAUGUAUAAGAGUUCCAAUGUCUGAAGAAAAAUGAA